rnacentral:tRNA from 1 species
GUUUACUUAGUAUAAAUAGUAUGUUUGACUUCCAAUCAAAAGGUUCAAUAAUAUUGAAGUAAAUA